rnacentral:other from 1 species
UCUAGCCUCGCGUAGUUUUUGUUUGAUAAUAUGGCAGAACCUACAAUGAUUGUAAUAGGAAGCCAACGGCUUUUUGGUGUGCACGCCCUCCGGCAUAGUACGAUUGAGGGAAGCCUAAAAAAAGGUCACAAGGCUACCACUUUUUGAAAAGUGGGUUUCUCCUAUGUAUAAAAAAUACGCGAGGUGUUUU